AGUGAACGUUGGCGGCGUGGAUUAGGCAUGCAAGUCGAGCGAGAACCGUAGCAAUACGGGGACAGCGGCGAAAGGGACAGUAAUGUGUAGGUACCUACCCCCGGGUUCGGGAUAGCUGCGGGAAACUGCAGGUAAUACCGAAUAAUGUCUCCGGACCAAAGGUGUGAUUCCACCUGGGGAGGGGCCUGCAUCCUAUUAGCUUGUUGGUGGGGUAACGGCCUACCAAGGCGACGAUGGGUAGCGGGUGUGAGAGCAUGACCCGCGUCAUUGGGACUGAGACACUGCCCAGACACCUACGGGUGGCUGCAGUCGAGAAUCUUCGGCAAUGGGCGCAAGCCUGACCGAGCGACGCCGCGUGCGGGAUGGAGGCCUUCGGGUUGUAAACCGCUGUCGUAGAGGAGGAAAUGCAGGGGGGUUCUCCCCUUUGCUUGACCUAUUCUAGGAGGAAGUACGGGCUAAGUUCGUGCCAGCAGCCGCCGUAA
rnacentral:rRNA from 1 species